rnacentral:lncRNA from 1 species
CAUUUCCAUUAUCGCACUUACUAUGAUCUUUCUAAAUACACUGUCAGCUGAUUGAUUUUUCAUUUUUUAGGUGGGCCAUAAUUGCAGAGAGAUUGGGCUUCAUGCUGGUGAUUAGAGAUCUCUUGUGGAUCCCUUUCUCUUUAGCAUUCAGGCAUAUAACGGUGAGCUUGAACACAAACAGGACAUACUUCAAUUUUUCUUAUUGACAGUAUCUUCUUGGCAAGUAAGAGUCAUACUUGGAAACAAUAUAGGUAUUGAAUGCUUGAUCACUCUGUGAUUGAACUGUCUUCUCUGUGGUACAUGGCUGGUGGCUUUUGCACAACAAAGUACGGCUAACAGUUCCUGCUAUUGUUGCCAUUGUGUUCUUGAUAGGGUAAGUUUUGAGUGAUGGGUUUUUCGAGAGGCUAACAAACAAAACCAUAUCCUUUGAGAAGAACCCAAAAACACAUAUACUUACCCCUCCAGUGGUCGUUGGUGGGAAAGUAAUACCAGUAUGAUCUUUUUCUCCUUCACUAGUUUCUUGCUUGGUUACACCGCCUCUAUCUUUGAUUGUUCAUCAUCUUUGGGAAUGGCGAAGUGAAUUCCGCAAUGAUACAAUUUCAGUAACUUACACAUGGGAAUUACAAGGCACUGUGAUUACCUUGGCGACUUGAUGCUUGCUCUCUCUUUCUGUUUCGCCGGGGCAAUAAGGUAACUUCUUCUGAAUAUGUUCAUGUAGAAAGUAAUACCAGUAUUUAUCCAGAAUGCUUAUCACAAACACUGAUUUGGCGAAAGAUUAAAAAAUGUUGAUCUUAAACCUGAUAUAAUUGAUUGAUAGUGUCUGGGAUUCUCCAACUUACUUUAUGACCACCAUUUGAACUUUCCAAAGUUUUUCAAUUCCAUUGUUUAAAAAAUACAGACGAAUGUAUUUUGGGUAUCGCUUAAUAUAUGUUUAUUGGAAAAAAUGGAAAAAAAUAAAAACAAAAUAUAAUAUUUGUUAUAAUACAUCAUAUUGGACUUAUAACCGGGCCCAAUAAGCCCAUCAUGGUUAUUUAUUAUGUACUCUAAAACCCUAUGUUUAUAUGCCUAUAUAUAUGUAUCAUUAUUCAUGGAAUGGAAUGAGAUAACAAUAAGUUUCACAACACGUUAUCAGCACGAGUUUGCUCUUAACAACCCUAACCCUAAAAAAAUCGCAAAACACUGUUCACGCCGACACUGUUCAUCGAUACUGUUCAUCGACACUGUUCGCCGACACUGUUCACGCCGACACUGUUCAUCGAUACUGUUCAUCGACACUGUUCGUCGAUACUGUUCACGCCGACACUGUUCAUCGAUACUGUUCACACCGACACUGUUCACACCGAUACUGUUCACACCGACACUGUUCAUACCGAUACUGUUCACGCCGAUACUGUUCACACAGACACUGUUCAUUGGUACUGUUCAUCGACACUGUUCAUAGGUACUGUUCAUCGACAGCGUGAGUUACCGAGGUCUUAAGCUCCCGGUUCAAUCCGUUCAACCCCAAUUGGUGAAAGGUAAAAACAAAACCUUAAAAGCUUAAAGAUCAAAAACCUUGUAUUACUUAAACCUAACACUCAAAAUCGACACUAAGCCAUGGCCGAAAUCUUAAAACCUAAAUCAAAUCAAAUCCAAAACCGCAAUUUUCGUGUAUCCCCUAAACCGGAAAUCAUUUUCGGUUAACUCCUAAACCCGAAUAUCAAUUCGGUUCAUCGGUUAAACUGAUUAUCAAACCGGUUCCAAAAAUAAUAACCGGAUCUCAAUCUGGGUAAACCCGUUCAAACUGGUUAUUCUAAACCGGAAAUCAAUUCGGCCCAAACCGGAAUCUAAUAUUCCGGUCCAACUUUAAACCAUUAAACCGAACUUAUGUUCCGUAUCCUUAAAAUUUACGAUUCCCGAGAAAGUUUCCUAAAAUAGAAACUUUCCUCAAAUAGCAAAUGACCCGGAAUGAAAACUUUCCUCAUUUAGAAAGUUUCCCAAAUUAGAAACUUUCCUCAUUUAGAAGGUUUCCUCAAAUAGAAACUUUCCUCAUUUAGAAAGUUUUCCUCAAAUAGAAACUUUCCUCAUUUAGAAAGUUUCCCCCAAAUUAGAAACUUUCCUCAUUUAGAAGGUUUCCUCAAAUAGAAACUUUCCACAUUUAGAAAGUUUUCCUCAAAUAGAAACUUUUCUCAUUUAGAAAGUUUCCCUCAAAUAGAAACUUUCCUCAUUUAGAAGGUUUCCUAAAAUAGAAACUUUCCUCAAAUAGCAAAUGACCCGGAAUGAAAACUUUUCUCAUUUAGAAAGUUUCCCAAAUUAGAAACUUUCCUCAUUUAGAAGGUUUCCUCAAAUAGAAACUUUCCUCAUUUAGAAAGUUUUCCUCAAAUAGAAACUUUCCUUAUUUAGAAAGUUUCCCUCAAAUAGAAACUUUCCUCAUUUAGAAGGUUUCCUAAAAUAGAAACUUUCCUCAAAUAGCAAAUGACCCGGAAUGAAAACUUUCCUCAUUUAGAAAGUUUCCCAAAUUAGAAACUUUCCUCAAAUAUAAAGUUUCCUCAAAUAGAAAAUUUAAUUAUUUUCAUAUAACUAUCCUUUUAACAAACCCCUAAUGAAAUCAAUUUCAUGUUUCAGAUGUCAAACAUUCAGAAAGUCGAGUUCGAGGCCCUCAAGGUCUCCGGUGAAAACUAUCUCGAAUGGGCCCUGGACACCAGGAUUUUCCUCAACUCAAAGGGACUGGGUGAGUGUAUCAAAACGGAUAACACCGCAUCUGAUAAAGACCGGUCCCAGGCGAUAUUUCAUAUCCGCCAUCAUUUGGCCGCAAGCCUCAAACAGCAAUAUCUCACUCUUGAGAACCCACUCGAACUUUGGGUGGCCCUGAAAAAACGGUAUGAUCACCAGAAAACGGUGCUCUUGCCACAAGCCAAGUUUGACUGGAAGGAACUCCGGUUCCAAGAUUACAAAUCUGUGGAUGACUACAACUCCGAACUCUUUCGGAUAGUUUCAAUCAUGAAACAAUGUGGUGAAGAGGUGUCUGAUAAUGAUCUCCUCGAGAAAACAUUAUCCACCUUCCAUACCCAAAAUAUUGUGCUUCAGCAACAAUAUCGUGCAAUGAAACAUACAUUGUACGAAGAUUUGUUAUCCUGUUUGCUCUUGGCCGAGAAAAACAAUGACCUGUUAAUGAGGAACAGUGCCCAGAGGCCCCCGGGAUCGGCUCCAGUACCAGAUUCCCGCAAAGAAUCCUACAAUGUCCAGCGAGACAGAUCCUCAGAUCGUGGCCAUGGACAUGGGAAUGGACGUGGGAAUGGACGUGGAAAGCGUGGACGCGAAAACGGACGUGGCAACCGACAUAACCUCAGUUAUGGUUCCGGUAAAGGCCAUGGUAUCUCUAAACCAAACCGCCCUGCCCACCCAACCAAUCAGUCUGCCUGUACCAGAUACGGAAUGUUCAAUCACUGGACAAAGAACUGUCGUACUCCCAAGUUUCAUUGCGAUUUGUAUCAGAAACAUGGGAAAGCACCUGCUGAAGCUAACAUGGCCCAGCAAGUUGAUGCUAACGACACCACCACCGAGCCGACCGAUCUCAUGGACUACGAGACCUCAGAUCUCCUCGAUUGAUUCUAUCAUCUGAACACUUGCUUAUUUUGAUUUUGUUUCUUUUCAUUUUGGGGAUUUAUUUUAUUUUCAUUUGCUAUUUAUUUUCAGACAUUUUGAUAUUUUAUUAAUUUAUGAAUCUUAUGAUUUACUCAUUUUUAAAUCAUACCUCUUGUUUAAAUUGAAGAUAUGAACACUCAAAAGGAUAUCAUAGUGGUGGAUAGUGGAUCUAGCCACACUAUCCUCAAAGACAAGAGUUAUUUCAUAAAUUUAAUCAUGCAAACCGCGAAUAUUAGCACAAUAGCGGGUAGCUCGAACUUAAUAGAAGGCCACGGCCAGGCCCAUGUGUUGUUAUCAAACGGCACACAUCUGGACAUUCCAGAUGCAUUAUACUCACCCAGCUCAAAAAGAAACCUUUUAAGUUUUAAAGAUAUCAGACUUAAUGGUUUCCACAUAGAAACCCAGGGUGAAGGGAAUAAAGAAUCCCUACUGAUCACUAUGAUCACACUUGGCCAUAAACAAGUCCUCGAGACUAUACCCGCUUUAUCUACUGGCCUUUACUAUGCCAAGGUCAGUAUGAUUGAGGCUAAUAAUGCUCUCAAAGCCCGGUUCCAAGACUACACUAUUUGGCACGACCGGCUUGGUCAUCCCGGUACAACCAUGAUGCGUAAAUUAAUCCAAAGUUCUCAAGGACACACCCUUCGAGAAAACCGAGUCUUCUCUCAGCACCUCAUGUGCACAGCUUGCUCCCAAGGGAAGUUGAUCACUCGGCCUUCACCAGUAAAAGUGUUCAAAGAGACAUUGCAUUUUCUGGAAAGAAUCCAAGGAGAUAUCUGUGGUCCCAUUCACCCACCUUCUGGGACAUUCCGGUACUUCAUGGUACUAAUAGAUGCUUCGACCCGUUGGUCGUAUGUAUGCCUGUUGUCUUCUCAGAACCAAGCUUUUGCUAGGUUGUUGGCUCAAAUCAUCAGAUUACGAGCCCACUUUCCAGACUUCCCACUAAAAACUAUACGUCUUGAUAAUGCUGGUGAAUUCACUUCCCAAGCGUUUAAUGAUUACUGUUUGGCCAUGGGGGUGACCGUUGAACAUCCUGUGGCACAUGUCCAUACUCAGAAUAGACUUGCUGAAUCAUUCAUUAAACGAAUCCAAUGGAUUGCUCGACCAUUACUCAUGAGGUCGAAACUCCCGGUCUCAGCUUGGGGACAUGCAGUAUUACAUGCUGCUGAACUAAUACGCAUCCGACCAUCUAGUGAGCAUAGAUAUUCCCCAUCCCAAUUAUUACAGGGUCAUGAGCCAGACAUCUCCCAUCUCAAAACAUUUGGGUGCUCAGUCUAUGUACCCAUUGCUCCACCACAUAGAACCAAAAUGGGACCUCAAAGGAGAAUGGGAAUAUAUGUUGGUUUUGAUUCUCCCACCAUCAUCAAAUAUCUCGAGCCGACCACUGGAGACCUAUUUAAGGCCAGAUAUGCGGAUUGCCAAUUUGAUGAAUCGGUAUAUCCAACAUUGGGUGGAGAGAAACACAAGCUGGUCAAAGAGCUAUCAUGGAAUCAAACAUCCUUAAAUUGGCAAGAUCCUCGGACUCUAGAAUGUGAUUCGGAGAUCCAAAAGAUUAUACACUAUCAAAAGCUAGCUAAUUAAUUGCCAGAUUCCUUUGCUGACCCGAACAAAGUAACCAAAUCGUACAUACCAGCUUGUAAUGCACCAGUACGAAUCACUGUUCCAACGGGACAAGUUCAAGUUGCUACAGAGUCUGCAUCACGAAAUAAACGUGGUAGACCUCUAGGUUCCAAAGACAAGAAUCCACGGAAAUCAAAGAAAGGUGCAAUAGUUGAAACCAGGAUUCCCAAUAUAACAGACAUAGCGCGCGCUGAGACUCACUCUAAUGAACCACCAGAAGAGGUUCGGGACGCCGAAUCUCUAGGUUCUGACGAGAUCGAUAACAAUGAGAUCUCUAUCAAUUACAACAUGUCUGGAACCCAAUGGAACAGAAAAGAAGUCGACUUAAAUGCACUCUUUGCAUACAAAGUAGCACUUGAUAUUGCAAACACGCAAGAGGAUCUAGAACCCACGUCUAUCAUAGAGUGCACUCAUAGAACAGACUGGCUAAAAUGGAAAGAAGCCAUAAACGUGGAGUUAAAGAGUCUCAAACUCAGGAAUGUGUUUGGUCCGAUCAUCCGGACACCAUUCAAUGUCAAACCAGUGGGCCAUAAAUGGGUCUUUGUGCGUAAAAGAAACGAACUCGGUGAAGUCGUUCGUUAUAAAGCACGGCUUGUAGCACAAGGAUUCUCACAGAGACCCGGAAUCGAUUAUGAGGAGACUUAUUCUCCGGUGGUGGAUGCAACUACUUUUCGAUUCCUCAUAAGUCUGGCCAUAAGAGAAAAUCUAGAUUUGCGGUUAAUGGAUGUUGUCACCUCAUAUCUCUAUGGGCCCCUCGACAAUGAAAUAUACAUGAGAUUACCAUAUGGCAUAGAGCUUAAAGAUAAGCAUGCAUCUCGAGAUCAAUACUGCAUCAGGCUGAACAAAUCCUUGUAUGGACUGAAACAAAGUGGACGUAUGUGGUAUAACCGGUUAAGCGAAUAUCUCAUCAGAGAAGGCUACAAAAACGAUCCCAUCAGUCCAUGCAUUUUCAUCAAGAAAUACUCAAACAAAGGAUUUGUAAUCAUAGCAGUUUACGUGGAUGAUCUAAACAUCCUCGGAACAUCUGGUGAAAUCUCCCAAACAGUCGACUGCUUGAAAGUAGAAUUCGAAAUGAAAGACCUAGGUAAAACUAAAUUCUGUUUGGGUUUACAACUUGAGUACGUUAAAGGAGGAAUCCUUGUGCAUCAAGCGGCUUACAUUGAAAAAGUACUCAAGCGAUUCAAUAUGGACCAGGCCCACCCAUUGAACAGCCCAAUGGUUGUCCAGAGCCUAGGAUUGGACAGUGAUCCAUUUGGUCCCAAGAAGGACGAUGAAGAAAUUCUCGGUCCAGAAAAGCCAUACCUCAGUGUUGUAGGAGCGUUAAUGUACUUGGCUAGUCACACUAGACCAGACAUUUGUUUUGCCGUGAACCUCCUGGCUCGCUUCAGCUCAUGUCCAACUCAGAGGCACUGGAAUGGUAUCAAACACCUCCUAAGAUACCUUCAAGGUACUAAAGACUUAGGACUGUUUUACACUAACCACAACAAGGAUGGACUAGUUGGUUUUGCUGAUGCAGUAUAUCAAUCAGAUCCGCACAAUGCCAAGUCUCAAACUGGUUAUGUGUUCACGCAUGGAGGAACAGCUAUCUCUUGGAGAUCGAUAAAGCAGACAAUCACUACCACUUCAUCAAACCAUGCAGAACUUUUGGCCAUUCACGAAGCCAGCAGAGAAUGUGUUUGGCUACGAUCCAUGACUCAGCACAUCCGAUCAGAUUGUGGUAUGAAAGAAGAUAAGGAGCCCACGGUUAUGUUUGAAGACAACGCGGCUUGCAUUGCUCAACUCAAGGAAGGUUAUAUCAAAGGAGAUCGGACGAAGCACAUCCUACCGAAAUUCUUCUCAACCUCGGAUUGGCAGAAGGAUGGUACGAUCAGCGUUCAACAGGUCCGAUCAUGCGAUAACUCCGCCGACCUUUUCACCAAAUCAUUGCCCGCUUCAACACUCCGGAAGCUCAUCCAACAAAUAGGAAUGCGUAGACUUAGAGAUCUACGGUGAUGCUCUAAUCAGGGGGAGUAAUGCGUGUUGUACUCUUUUUCCUUCACCAUGGUUUUUCCCACUGGGUUUUCCUGGUAAGGUUUUAAUGAGGCAACAUUCCCCAGCGUAUUAUCGAGAUCCCGAUUGACCAUCAGGUCCGGUUACUCCGUCCAAGGGGGAGUGUUAUAAUACAUCAUAUUGGACUUAUAACCGGGCCCAAUAAGCCCAUCAAGGUUAUUCAUUAUGUACUCUAAAACCCUAGUUUUAUAUGUCUAUAUAUAUAUAUAUAUCAUUAUUCAUGGAAUGGAAUUAGAUAACAAUAAGUUUCACAACAAUAUUAACAUUUGUUUUCUUAUAUGCGCUACAAGAAGCGUAGGAUGCAAGCAUCCCCGGAAACUAAUAAAAUCUUCAAAUUGAUAUGUAUAUUGGGGAACUGUUGUCCUCUCUCGAGUCGCCGAUCUGAUAACAAAUCAAUCACAAGUGUAAGCAAAUAUCUAGCUGAAGCCAGAUUCGAGCGAGAAUUGGGUGUCUCGAAUAUUGCUAGACUGCGUUUGCGUUUGGAGCGUUUUUGAUUCGAUAGCAGCACUGGGAAGGCAUAAAUCUGAAGGAUUUUAGUAAUCUUCUAAAUUGGUUGUCUCUUCACUAUAAACGACAAUGAAACGAUGGUAUGUUUCUCUGUUUUGUUACAAAUCGUUCUAUAUGCAAGCUCUAAAACCCUAAUUUUAAUCUUGUCUACUUUUGGUUUUGUUUGUGAAAAGUUUGAGAAUUCGAGUUGUUAUGGGUAGAGACAGGAUCAGUGAGUUGCCUGAAGAGUUACUUCUAAAGAUACUGUCUUUUCUUCCAACAAAAACUGUCAUAUCCACGAGUGUUUUGUCGAAACCAUGGCGGUCUCUUUGGAAGCUGGUGCCGAAACUCGAGUUCGAUUCUCAGGAUCGGAGAACUGCAGAGAAUGUAGGCAGGUCUUUGCUUUUACAUAAAGCUCCAGUUUUAGAGAGUUUGCAUCUCACAGGUUUAUGUGAUGAUAUAGAUGUUGGACUAUGGGCUGGAAUUGCAUUUGCACGCAACGUGCGUGAAUUCUUACUCCAAGUUUGGAUUCCCUUUUCCAUGCCAGUCACAUUUCCGAGUAGCUUGUUUUUCUGUGAUACACUUGAGACCUUGAAACUCAAGAAUCCUCCUAUUGAGAUAGAUGUUCCUUCUCCCGUUUCUAUGAAGUCUCUUAGAACGCUUCACCUUGAAUAUGUGACGUACAAAGACGAUGAAUCCAUUUGUAACCUUUUAUCUGGCUGCCCUAACCUUGAAGAUUUGCUUGUGCAUCGAGGUUACCCUAAUAAUGUAAUGAAUUUUGUUAUUGUGGUGCCAUCUUUGAAGAGACUAUCCAUUAAAGAUUUCACUGGUGGACGGAAUGGGGGCUAUGUGAUAAACGCUCCAUCUUUGAAAUACUUUCAAAUUGAAAGGUUAUCAGGUUAUGAGCUUUGUCCGAUUGAGGAUGCGCCAGAGCUAGUUGAGGCAAAUAUUAGAAACGUUUCUAAUAUAGUCAAUGAGAAGAUUUUGGGAUCUCUCAAGUCGGCCAAGCGUCUUUCCUUGGACUUAUCACCUUUGGAGGUAAACUAUGCUUGCAAUUUAACUUAUUUGUUGUUUAUGUCAUAGUUUUAAUAAUAUGAUCUUUAUGCAUAUAGAUUAAGUGUCCUGCCGGAGCUAUUUUCUAUCAGCUGGUAUGUCUAGAGAUGUAUACACAUAAAGCGAAGUGGUGGAAUCUACUUACGAUCAUGCUCGAUAGCUCUCCUAAACUACAAGUUCUCAAGCUCAUUGAUGUAAGUUAUUUCAUUAUUAGUCGGCUAGGUAUUUUGAAGGUCUAAUGGGUAAUAUACACUAAUUCCUCUUUGCCGCGUGUUUUUCUUAUCAGCAAAAUCAGGAUUCUAGUAAAGAUGGUGUGGUUGGCGGGAAAUGGAAGGAGCCAAAGCGUGUUCCUGAAUGUUUAUUGUCACACCUUGAGACAUUUGUGUGGACAAGAUAUGAUUGGAGAAGAGAAGAAGAGAAAGUAGUGGCUAAAUACAUUCUAAGGAACGCAAGACGUUUGAACAAGGCAACUUUCUCUACAAGACCCAUUGAAUCCAAAAAGAAGCUUGAAAUGCUCAACGAGAUGAAUGGUGUGGUCAAGGCUUCAUAUUCAUGCCACCUAGUGUUCGAAUAAUCUUAUAUGUAUUUAACUUUUCUAGUAAGAUAAGAGCUUUUUUACUUUGUUAAUAUAGAUUGUUACUUUAAUUGCUUUAGAAGGGAUUUAUACUGGUCCCGGAUUUCAAGGUAUGGUGGAUUUUGUGAUUUCCAGGGAGAGAUUUAAAACAUGAAAUCAAUGAGUAAGUGGUGAAAGAGAUGAAUGGCAAAGUGAUUUUACAAUUGCAAUAUUUGAUUGAUUUGUAGGGUUGGCCGGUUGGACAUAUAACAAAUUAAACCAGUAUCUCUUUUCCCCUAACUGUGGUCAUUUGUACAAUAGGACGUAAGAAUCUCCUUGUCAGUUUCCAAUAUUUGCUGUUGAUGAUUUAUUUAGUUACUAAACAUACCAAAAAGAGAGACAAACAAUGACAGAGGAUGUGGAAAUGUACAACAGAAAUACAAUAUAACUUGUGUGAAAGAGAUAGUUUGAUCAUAUAAGACUUGGUCAGUAGACUGAUAGUCUCUUUGGUUCUCCUCUUAGUUCUUUCCGGACAAGCUUUAAGAUCACGAUAAUCUGCAAGAUACGAAAGGUCAAAAAGUUUGAUGAAAGUGUAUACUAUACAACGUUGUAUAUGAGAACUUGUGGAGAGAAAAGAGAGAUUUUGCUUACGCCAGGGUAAUGCUUUAGUAUUGGAGAGUAAUGAUCAAGAGCAAUAUAAACUUUCUCAAGCCAAGAGAGAUUUCGUUUCAUCGCUAAGGAGAUCAGUAAAAGAUUAUCAUGCUACCAAAUGGCCAAUAAAAGAAAACAACACAAAAGGGUGAGUCGGCUUCAAGACGAAUGAAAAGGACCAAUCUUUGAGGAACAUAAUUUUUAGCUACAAAACCAUCUUUCAUGGCGGAAAAACGGAUGAUUAUAUGAUUUAUACUUGUUUUGGAUGAGUAACAAGUUCAAGCUUUUACUUUAGGGGAAUUUGGAAACAUGCAAGUUUACGAAAUGGACAUACCAAGUUGGUGGUUUUUGCGGUCUCUCAUUGGUACUAUAUCUUGUUCCCUGCAUUUUCAUGAAAGAACAGAUCUAAAUGCCUUGGUGGGGACUUCUUCUAGCAUCAUUCAUGGCCGUUACCUUCACUGUUAUAGUCAGAUAUAUCACAUCUAUAGCUAAUCAGGUGGUUUAACUUCCACUAUUUAAUCCUGAAAACAUGUUUUGGAUUUGUUUUUUCUAAUUUCUCACUUUUAAACUGUUGUGACAGACUCCAGAUAAUUUCUCAUGGGUGUGUUGUUAUGGGGGAGACCAAUCGCUAACGUCUGCUUCAAAACUUUUGGUUACAUUAAGCAUGUCACAAGCAAUUUCAUUCCUUAACGACUUCAAGCUAGGCCAUUACAUGAUGAUACUGCCAAGAUCGAUGUUCUUAGUCUAGUUCAUAGGAUAGGAGCAGUGAACAUACCAGUGACAUGGUACUUGCUUAGGAAACAUCUGUCAGAAAGACUACCUGCAAACAGUCCAUGGACAUGUCCAAGUGACAGAGUUUCCUUUAACGCAUCAGUGAUUUGGGGAUUAGUAGGACCCAAGAGAAUCUUUGGUCGUCUAGGAAACUACUCUGUACUUAACUGGUUAUACUAACGAACAAAAAUAAAGAGUAAGAGUAGAAAGAAAACACUCAUCAGUAAGAGUACUAAGAAAACACGUAUCAAUGAGUAAGAGUAGGAAGAGAUGAAAGACAAGUACUAGACAAAGUAACAAUGAAUAGCUAUAAGAGAUGAAUAGCAAGAGUAGUAAGAGUCUAAGAGAUGAAAACACGAAUCAAUGAGUAAGAGAACGAAGAGAUGAGUUCACAGACUCCGUGGAGCCCUGUCCACUCCCGCUGGAGGGACUCUCCACAACCAUAACAAUGUUCAGGUAAGAAACCCCCACACUAUCAACAUCUUCUUCUACAUGUAGCUCCGUGUUUUGAUCGUCGAAAGUCUUCAGUCCAUCUGAUGUGGAUAUGUAGCAACCUCUUGGGAAACUACCGUAAGCUCUUUGACACCCCAGCUGAGCCAUAUCAGAAUUCGUGGUAAGAAUCAAGUCGCCUUCCACAUCAAUGCCCCAAUAGAAAGGAAGAUGUGCAUCACGAUCCUGUAAAACAAAAAGCAUUCAAAUCAUAUAAGCUUCAAAUCAAAUCAUAAGUAUGGAAAUGAAGUGUGUUAAUGUAUUACUGUAGCAGCAAAGACCGUCUUCUUCAGGUUAUCGAAGAGAAUGAUAGUAAACUUCCCCUUGGCAGCUCUUACUAAGUUCAACCAGUAAAAUUCUCGUUGGUCCUUCUGAAGCUUUGUUUCUGGGCCAUCGUUAAUGCGCCUUUGUGAUUUAUAAGCCUCGAUGAACAUGGUAGGCUGAUCAAUGUCCUUAUUGAAGUGGAAUUUUGAAGCCAAAUAGUCUAUAUUCUCAAUGCUACCGCUCAAUAUACAGAACAUAUCGUCUUUUGCUUGGAAACGACUGCAAAAUUAAACACAACAACAAUCUUAACAUACUAAGUGAACAAUUUAAGAUAUCGUCUCCCUCUUAAGAACUUACUAAACUAAGCGAUCUCAACAGAAAUUACCGAAACCUAAAGUUCCAUAGCCCUAAAUCAUAGCGAUCUCUAACGACAUACGAAUCAAACCAAAAAUCAUUGAGAAAUUGUAAUCUCAGCACGCGAAUCUAACAUCUGCGAAGUAAAAACCUAAAGAUAAUCUAACAUCUGGAAAUAUAUAACCUCUAAAGAACCCUAACAUACAUAAAUGGCGAUCUCACGAGUCACGAACAAGACAAUCCAAUGAAAUCUUACCAAAAACUCUCAAUAAGCUUAAGAUCGAUAGAGGUUGUAUCUUACUUCGCGAUGAUAGAAUUUGUCGGAGCCACUGUAAUUGCAAGCAUACACCAUGGCUGAAUAUCAACCAUAAACGAAUUCGCGUACUCGUUAGUGUAGUAUUUAGCCAGAGAAUUUUCCAUGGCGGAAACGGACUCAGAGGUGUGCAGAUUCAGCGACUUGUCCAACUCUGGGAAUGGCGCCACCUGCUUCGAGAAAACUCCAAGCAUUUUUCCUCCGAAGCUUCGAGAGAGAUUUUUCAGAGAAAAAAAGUCGAGUUGGGGAAGAGAACGAACUCUGUUAGCGAAAAGAAAAGAGCCGGGAAAGAAAUAAAAAGCGAGUUUUCUCUUCGCCGACCUUCCAGAUUGUACCACGUGGCGUGAUGGGCGGUUAGGAUUGUUUGUUAAAUUCUUCUUCCUCCCACGCUUAAUUUAUUUUCUGUUGCAUUUUGAAUUUGUUUUUAAUUAUUGUGAAGCGGAAAUUAAAUAUGGAUCUCUCGGUGUUCUUCUACUAAUCUAAUCUUUAGCUUUGGUUCAAUCCAUCUCGCAAUUGUUAUUGUUGUGAUUUUUGGUUUCCGAUUUUGUCAAAUUUGUAUCCUGGGUUCUGACAAUUAGGUUUUAUUUGCUGCUCUGGUGUUUCCGGAGAAAUUCUCCCCUGGAAAAGUUAUUCACGGCGUCCUUUUAUCAGAUGGUUCUCAAUUUCGUACCGAUGCAAUGGUUAAUUUGAUUUGAUUUAAGUCUUUCUACUAUUCCUGGGAUUUUGUGAGCUCGAAACUUUUAUGUCCAUUAAUUUUGCUAAUCCAAUUUCAGGUCUAUUUGCAUUAAUAUUGUUGCUAGCUUUUUUUCGGAAUCUGUGCAAAAAUCGGCAUUCUUGUAAGUGUAGUUACCAUUUUCUGAUUCAUGUCUCACGAUAUCUUGUACAUGACUGGCACUGGAAUAGUACAUUUGUAUUUAUAUCACUGCAGUGUACAGACACUGGAUGGUGAAGUAGUGGAAGCUUAUGAGGUCAGAAUGUGGAGGUGAGACUGACCAACAUUCUCAGUAAGGAGUUUAUUUGAGCAUUUUUGUUAGGGACUCAUCAAAUGUGUUGUUUGAUGUUCCAUCAGGGAGAGAUUUACCGAUAAGACAUGUCUUGAGAAAGAGCAAAAUGAUCCUUGGAUUGCUCGAAGGAAUUCCCACGAUGUACAAGGCUGAAAAUUGCAAUGGUAAUUAGGAUUUUGUUUAAACAUAUGUUCUUGUUUGUGUACCGUGUCAAAGAUAAUGUUUGCUCGAGUGUUUUGCCCAUUUUUGUAUAUUUCAAAGCUUUGUCUCUUUACUUUGUUUCGUAGUUUGGUUUCAGAACAGGGUUUAGUUUAUUUACUUGAGUUACCUCAACUUCAGUGAGUUGAUACGCCAAAUCUUCCAUUAGCUAUUUCAGAACACUUUCUUGGUUCUUCACGGCUGAAGAAGUCUUUAUCAAAUUUUUCCUUUUAUUCAGUUCAAGAUGAAACCUGAAAUGCACUAUGCAGAAAGUGAUUGUCCAGUCUUUGCGCCAGGCAAUUUUCCAAAAGAUGAUGAGUUUCGUUUUGAGAUUGCUUUGAUGGAUUUCCCAAAAGCCAAGGCAAGAUCUCAUCACAACCCAAGAUAACAGUGCUCUAGUUAGCCGAAAAGACUCUGAGAACUUGCAUUUCAUCUGUUUUGACUUAAGCUUUGUCAUUUCCUUUGUGUUAAUGUCCAGAUUGCAAAUGAUGAUUUGGGGGUCAUCAAGAAGGUAGGACCUGAAUUUCCAUAUUUGUAGAUAUAUCAUUUGGGUCCGGGAUGAUGUAUGUCUUUGGUGGUCUGGGCAAGGGUAGUGUAAGGAAGAAUAAGCAGGCUUAGACUGAUAUGAUCCAAACCUUUCUUGUUCUUCAGUAGAAUGAUAUAAAAAAAAACCUAGUGGAGUUAUUUACGCUUUUUGGGGUUGCCUAAGACUAUGGAACCACGAAGAGUUUCAAGUAAUUUCUCCUAGAAAGAAUGUCGAUUGCUCUUUAAUCACUAGCAGUGACUUAACUUUUGAACUCCAUUGUGAAACCAAAAGUUCUGGUUUGGCUUUCACUUGCUUCUUCAGAACAGAUGCUUUGAUUUUCUUCAUUCUGAUCUUUUUUAUUUCAUGUGAUAGGUGGUUUGGAAUACAGCUGAACCCUCCAUUUAUGAGCAUAGAUCUCAAGUAAUCAAUCUUUCCAUUUUUCUCUUCUAUCUGUAAGCCCGGGCAGCAUCAUUACUUCAGUUUGCAUAUUACAGAUAUGAGUAGCGGGUUUUUAUAAUGCUAUCUACAGUUAUGCAUGUUUAUGAUGAUGGGAAUUAUUCCUUGUUUAGCCGGGAUGAUGAGAUAUUGAGAUGGCUGAUCAAUAUCUCUAUUCUGGCAAGACUUGUGCAGGAUGGUUCCUGAGUCAGUCAAUGAUUCCAUACCAGAUUUUCUGUGCGGUAUAUAUAUAUUUGGUUUUGCUUACAAUACCCGCUUCUUGAAAUUCUGAUCAUCCGUGUUUUGUUAGUCUUACAAUAGUUUAUAAUUGAGUUAUAUACAUUGGAAUUGGAGUACUUUUUUCAUGAAUAAUACAUGACCUCUAAGUAAGUUCAUGGUGUCGUGAUGGAACAUAUUCAUCUUACCAAAAUAUGACCAUUUCCAUUAUCGCACUUACUAUGAUCUUUCUAAAUACUGUCAGUUUUUCAAUUUUUAGGUGGGCCAUAAUUGCAGAGAGAUUGGGCUUCAUGCUGGUGAUUAGAGAUCUCUUGUGGAUCCCUUUCACUUAAGCAUUCAGGCAUAUAAAGGUGAGCUUGAACACAAACAGGACAUACUUCAAUUUUUCUUAUUGACAGUAUCUUCUUGGCAAGUAAGAGUCAUACUUGGAAACAAUAUAGGUAUUGAAUGCUUGAUCACUCUGUGAUUGAAUUGUCUUCUUUCUGGUACAUGGCUGGUGGCUUUUGCACAACAAAGUAGGGCUAACAGUUCCUGCUAUUGUUGCCAAUUGCCUUGUGUUCUUGAUAGGGUAAGUUUUGAGUGAUGGGUUUUUCGAGAGGCUAACAAACAAAACCAUAUCCUUUGAGAAGAACCCAAAAACACAUAUAUUUACCCCUCCAGUGGUCGUUGGUGGGAAAGUAAUACCAGUAUGAUCUUUUUCUCCUUCACUAGUUUCUUGCUUGGUUACACCGCCUCUAUCUUUGAUUGUUCAUCAUCUUUGGGAAUGGCGAAGUGAAUUCCGCAAUGAUACAAUUUCAGUAACUUACACAUGGGAAUUACAAGGCACUGUGAUUACCUUGGCGACUUGAUGCUCUCUCUCU